GACGAACGCUGGCGGCGUGCUUAACACAUGCAAGUCGAACGGAAAGGCCCUGCUUUUGUGGGGUGCUCGAGUGGCGAACGGGUGAGUAACACGUGAGUAACCUGCCCUUGACUUUGGGAUAACUUCUGGAAACUGGGGCUAAUAUCGGAUAGGAGCUCCUGCUGCACGGUGGGGGUUGGAAAGUUUCGGCGGUUGGGGAUGGACUCGCGGCUUAUCAGCUUGUUGGUGGGGUAGUGGCUUACCAAGGCUUUGACGGGUAGCCGGCCUGAGAGGGUGACCGGCCACAUUGGGACUGAGGUACGGCCCAGACUCCUACGGGAGGCAGCAGUGGGAAAUCUUGCACAAUGGGCGGAAGCCUGAUGCGAAAACGCCGCGUGCGGGAUGACGGCCUUCGGGUUGUAAACCGCUUUCGCCUGUGACGAAGCGUGAGUGACGGUAAUGGGUAAAAAAGCACCGGCUAACUACGUG
rnacentral:rRNA from 1 species